CUUAAAGCAUCUUCAAGUAACAAGCAUCCUUUACCUUCAUCUGAUUGAGUUUCCUGACUUAUAACUGAACUUAUGAGGCAACAUACCUCUAGAGAGCGGCCCAGACCUUUAUAUAUUUUUCUGUAUGUGGCCCUCGGUGAAAAAGGUUUGGACCCCCCUGUUCUAGACCAAUGACUGGUUACUUCCUGUCAUGCAGCUGAGAGCUGUGGCAGGCAGUCGUAGUGUUUGCAGAGAAGAUAUGAUGGGAUGUAAAGCAUGAGAUCAGGACUCUGAAGCUGACUCAAAGAACUAACACUUAUUUUAAACUGGAUCUAAAACUGUUGGAUUGUGUUCGUCUCUACAGGAUCAGAGGAUAUGAGCCGAUCAGAGCCACGAUCCAGAAGACCUGUGACAGGAAGUGAAGACACACAGAAAGUUUAUUCAUCACGGGGCGAGUUUGAGACGUAAAGAGGAGCGUGGAGGCAUUUUGGAAAAUAAAGAAGAAGGCUGCAGCUGAUGAGAGACUUCCUGUUAGCUCCCCUCAAUAUUAAAUGAACAAAAACAAUCAAUUGUACUUAAAGCUUUUCUUAAGAAGAAAGAUGUGUUGCACAUACACCUGCUGCUACCUACCACCACCUCCCACCCAUCCCGGCACCAAAGAGGAGACUCCAUCGACCCCAGAUACCCCAACUCACUCUUCUUCAGGUUAGCUUGGAGCCCCGCCUUUACCUGCCCCAACAUCUCACUUUGAACGAUGUAGUCAUCCGGAUAUCUGCAUACUGAGAGUGGCACGCAGGACCCGGUCAAUGAGCUGCUGGAAGGGGGUCCACUGGACUGGAGGGGCGCUUGGAUCUGGUGAUGCCUUGCUCUUCCUGAAAGGGGAGGACACCUAUCUGCCAUCGUUUUUCCACCUGACGACUGAGUUCGGCAUCGGGGGUUCCAGUUGGGGUGAAGAGAAUCUGGGGGGCAUCCGAUGGCUCCUGAAUAGGGGGGGCCCUUGGAGUGUCCAACCUAAUGAUAACAUUAAGAAUAAUAAUAAUGCAUUUUAUUUGUAAAGCACCUUUCAUUGCUAAAAGUAAUCUCAAAGUGCUACAAGGGGCAUAAUAUACUUUUUUUUUUUUUUAAAGAAACACAAGUUUAAUAAAAGGCUUUAAAAAAAAGAAAUUGUUUUAGGCCCUUCUUAAAGGAGUCAGUGGUCUGUGGACAGGGGCGGACUGGC